UUUCCCGUAAGGCGCCGAAUGAGUCAUUAAUUUAACAUCAUCCGAUCCCUAGUCGGCAUAGUUUAUGGUUAAGACUACGACGGUAUCUGAUCGUCUUCGAUCCCCUAACUUUCGUUCUUGAUUAAUGAAAACAUCCUUGGCAAAUGCUUUCGCAGUAGUUAGUCUUCAAUAAAUCCAAGAAUUUCACCUCUGACAAUUGAAUACUAAUGCCCCCAACUAUCCCUAUUAAUCAUUACGUCGAUCCUAGAAACCAACAAAAUAAAAUCAAACGUCCUAUUUCGUUAUUCCAUGCUAAUGUAUUCAAGCGUGAGCCUGCUUUAAACACUCUAAUUUUUUCAAAGUAACAGUCCUGAUUCCCUAAAACACCAAAUUAAUGGCAUUAUAGUUCGUCAGAAGAGAGAAACCGAUUAUACCAGUACGUACAAAAGCACGACCAGUAGACCGGUCUCGAAAUUCAACUACGAGCUUUUUAACUGCAACAACUUUAAUAUACGCUAUUGGAGCUGGAAUUACCGCGGCUGCUGGCACCAGACUUGCCCUCCAA
rnacentral:rRNA from 1 species